GCCGAUAUGGCUCAAUUGGCAGAGCAGCUGAUUUGUAAUCAGCAGGUUUUCGGUUCGAGUCCGAAUAUCGGCU
rnacentral:tRNA from 3 species